rnacentral:rRNA from 1 species
GAACUGAAGAGUUUGAUCAUGGCUCAGAUUGAACGCUGGCGGCAGGCCUAACACAUGCAAGUCGAGCGGAUGAAGGGAGCUUGCUCCUGGAUUCAGCG